AUGGCGGCUGCACUUUGACCUUUGUAGUAUCCAUGCAAACAUAAUUUACCUUAGCCCCCUUACCCUUUCUUCUGGAACGGCCGGACUGGAGGGUGCGGGAGGGACGCAGAGGUUUCCAGGAUCCCUUGAUGGGAACUGGAAGCCCUUCGGGAGCGAUCCCGAGUUUGAGCUGUAGCCCUGGAUGCUGUGCUAACGCCGGCUCACAAUUAUACUUUGGAGACGGAACCAGGCUGACAGUUCUGGAUGACCUGACCAGGGUGACUCCCCCAAAGGUGACUGUGUUUCAGCCAUCUGAGGAAGAGAUUGAGAAGAAGGGAAAGGCCACUCUGGUCUGUCUGGCCACAGGCUUCUACCCUGACCUGGUGGAGCUGAGCUGGUGGGUGAAUGGGCAGGAGACCCAGGUUGGAGUCAGCACAGACCCUCAGCCUUCCAAGGAGCAGCCCUAUAAGAAUGAUUCAAGCUACUCACUGAGCAGCCGGCUCCGGGUUUCUGCUCCCUUCUGGCGCAAUCCCAAGAACAGCUUCCGUUGCCAAGUACUGUUCCAUGGGAUCUCAGAGGAUGAGGACUGGAAGGGUAAUGGGAGCAAACCUGUCACCCAGAAUGUCAGUGACCAGACCUGGGGAAAGGCAGAUUGUGGUCUUACCUCUGAGUCAUAUCAGCGCAGUAUCCAGUCCGCCACCUUCCUUUAUGAGAUCCUGCUGGGGAAGGCCAUGCUCUAUGGCCUAUUGGUCAGUGUCCUGGUAUGGAGAACCAUGGUGAAGAAAAAAUAUUCCUGAUGCCAGCUGUGGAGAUGAAAAUAGGGAAGAGAAAACAGGAUUCAGUAUCCCAUCUUCGUUUCUGUUUUCUCUAUUCCUAUUCUGUGUUCCAGAAAAGCUGUGUUCCCAGAAAAGCUAUUGUGUUCCAGAAAAGAAUAUUGUGGGAUAUUAUUAUGCCUACCUUUCAUAAGUCUCUCCAAAGAGAACAUUCCAAUUUCAAGGAGAAAAGGAUGGUGGUUUGAUCUUGAAGAAAUAAUAAUAAUAAUAAUAAUAAUAAAAGCCUUCCCUGGCUUAGCAGUUACCAUCUAUGUCUCUAUCUUUUUUCUCAUUGACUUAAUAAAGAAACAUUCUUUUAAGUCAGAACACAGAAUUCAAGAAAGUAUUAGAAUAGUUCAUGGAAAACCUGUUUGAGCAAAGGAAGAGGUUAUAUUACCAUCCUCCUUCUUGAGUUUCAAAAAAUAGUCAUCAAACUCAUAGGUACUCCAGAGAUAGAGGUAAGCCAAUGAGUGCUGGAUGUUGUAUUUAGGGGAAAAAAAACUGGACACAGGGGUAUCACAAUUUCCAAGUGAUUAAGGGAAUGUCUGAGAAGAGGUAGGCUAUAGAAGUCUGGUAUAAAGGAGAUUUGAGUCCUAUUAGAGUUAGGAGAAUGAAACAAGAGAGAUAAGGAAAGAUUGAGAAAAUGAGGAAA